rnacentral:rRNA from 1 species
UCGGUUAAGUCCGCUAACGAGCGCAACCCUCGUCGUGUGUUACAAGUGUCACGCGAGACCGCCGGUCGAUAAACCGGAGGAAGUGGGGAUGACGUCAAGUCAGCAUGGCCUUUAUGUCCUGGGCUACACACACGCUACAAUGGCCAGUACAAUUGGUAGCUAAGCCGCGAGGUGGAGCCAAUCCGUAAAAGCUGGCCUCAGUUCAGAUUGUAGGCUGCAACCCGCCUGCAUGAAGAUGGAGUUGCUAGUAACCGCAGGUCAGCAAUACUGCGGUGAAUACGUUCCCGGGUCUU